rnacentral:rRNA from 1 species
UAGUCCAUGCCGUAAACGAUGAAUACUGGGUCUUCGGGGAUUCGACCCCCUGUGGACCGAAGCUAACGCGUUAAGUAUUCCGCCUGGGGAGUACGGUCGCAAGACUAAAACUCAAAGGAAUUGACGGGGGCCCGCACAAGCAGCGGAGCGUGUGGUUUAAUUCGAUGGUAAACGAAGAACCUUACCUAGGUUUGACAUAUAAGUAGUACUGAUCCGAAAGGUGAUGGACCCGCAAGGGAGCUUAUACAGGUGCUGCAUGGUUGUCGUCAGCUCGUGCUGUGAGGUGUUGGGUUAAGUCCCGCAACGAGCGCAACCCUCGUGGAUAGUUGUUUUCUUUAUCCAGACUGCUUUUACAAGAGGAAGGUGGGGAUGACGUCAAAUCAUCAUGGCUCUUACACCUAGGGCUACACACACGCUACAAUGGACAGUACAGACGGUUGCUAAGUCGCAAGAUGGAGCCAAUCCGAUAAAGCUGUCCCCAAUUGGGAUUGUAGGCUGAAACUCGCCUGCAUGAA